rnacentral:sRNA from 1 species
GGGAUUAGAUACCCCUGUAGUCCUGGCCGUAAACGAUGAACACUAGGUGUCGGGGGAAUCGACCCCCUCGGUGUCGUAGCCAACGCGUUAAGUGUUCCGCCUGGGGAGUACGCACGCAAGUGUGAAACUCAAAGGAAUUGACGGGGGCCCGCACAAGCGGUGGAGUAUGUGGUUUAAUUCGAUGCAACGCGAAGAACCUUACCAGGGUUUGACAUCCUGCGAACCCCCUAGAAACGGGGGGGUGCCUUCGGGAGCGCAGAGACAGGUGGUGCAUGGCUGUCGUCAGCUCGUGUCGUGAGAUGUUGGGUUAAGUCCCGCAACGAGCGCAACCCACGUCGUUAGUUGCCAGCAUUCAGUUGGGCACUCUAGCGAGACUGCCGGUGAUAAACCGGAGGAAGGUGUGGAUGACGUCAAGUCAUCAUGCCCCUUACAUCCUGGGCUACACACGUACUACAAUGCUACGGACAAAGGGCAGCAAACUCGCGAGGGUAAGCAAAUCCCAUAAACCGUGGCUCAGUUCAGAUCGUAGGCUGCAACUCGCCUACGUGAAGGAGGAAUCGCUAGUAAUCGCAGGUCAGCAUACUGCGGUGAAUACGUUCCCGGGCCUUGUACACACCGCCCGUCACACCAUGGAAGUUGGCCAUGCCCGAAGUCGUUACUCCAACCCUUGUGGAGGAGGACGCCGAAGGUGGGGCUGAUGACUGGGGUGAAGUCGUAACAAGGUAGCCGUACCUGAAGGUGCGGCUGGAUCACCUCCUAACAGGAGACCAUUACUGUNUUUGUGAAGUCUGAAGUAAUUAAUUCUCAGCCAUAAUCCGUCAUCUUCGAAGGUCCGAUCGGUGUACCUCAACGUGAUUAACAGAGGAAAGAGCUUGAGAGGAUUCAGCUUUGGAGACUUGUGGAAUCUAUUUCCAGUUCCCUAAACUUGUUUGUCUAGGUUCACCCCACAGGGGCUGGUUGAGCAUUAAAUGUUUAACACUAGUGAGUGGUUACGGCUCCUGGGCCAUUAGCUCAGGUGGUUAGAGCGCACCCCUGAUAAGGGUGAGGUCCCUGGUUCAAGUCCAGGAUGGCUCAUUCGUGUUUGGGGGUUUAGCUCAGUUGGUAGAGCGCCUGCUUUGCAAGCAGGAUGUCAGCGGUUCGAGUCCGCUAACCUCCAUCCAAAUUUGUAGCGCCCUGCCAGAUGCGAACAGGAGUUCAAAUCUGAGGUGAUCUAGAUUGUUUUAGCUAGUUUAGAAGCAAGUGAAUCUAGCCUCAUUUUAUCAAGCUAAGAGAUUUUAGCUGUGUUGAAAUGAUGCUGGACUCAAGAGGGCCCCAAAAGGGCCUGAUUUGUGUUCUAGCAGAACCUUGACAACUGCAUAGGUGAAGUCUGGAAAUAAAGCAUCUCAUGGAUGCCCAGACCGAUUGAAGCUUAAGGCGCAAGCUGAGAGCAGAGAUUGGGAAGGGAAAAUUCUAUUGAGUUUUUAGAGCCGAGAGCUUCCAGUGUUCUUCCGAAUCCGCCGAGGAGGAGGGAGUUUGAUCCUUGUAUUCAAACUACUAGUUUAUAGCCUGAGCAAUCAGGAAAUAAAUCAGCCAGUGAAUCGAGAGAGAAUAGGCCUCAACAGCCUGAAGCAUUGGGAGUUUAAUUUGGUCAAGCUACAAAGGGCUCACGGUGGAUACCUWGGCACACAGAGGCGADG